UACGUAGGGUGCAAGCGUUGUCCGGAAUUAUUGGGCGUAAAGAGCGUGUAGGCGGCCCGAUUAGUCCGCUGUGAAAGUCCAGGGCUCAACCCUGGAAUGCCGGUGGAUACUGUGGGGCUAGAGUCCGGAAGGGGCGAGUGGAAUUCCUGGUGUAGCGGUGAAAUGCGCAGAUAUCAGGAGGAACACCAAUGGCGAAGGCAGCUCGCUGGGACGUGACUGACGCUGAGACGCGAAAGCGUGGGGAGCAAACAGG
rnacentral:rRNA from 1 species